ACUGACCUGUUGAUAUCAGAAGACCACAACAGCUCUGCAAUGCAAGUUGCAAAACAGAAUCCAUGAAACUGGCAGUGACCGGAAACCAAUUGGAAGACUUUGGUUUAUGAUGUAGAGAAGUGGGCAGACGCAGAAGCAAAGACAAC